UCCUCCCCCCUCGUUCUCAAAAUGGUUUCCACUUGCACAAUCCAGACGGGAUUUGUCAAGAUUGAUUUAUAAGAAGUUUAACAUCUUAUACUAAACUUGAAACAAAAUUUUUACAGCUCUGAUUGACAAUUCCAGAGUUGUAAAAUGCAUUUUUCAAGUAAAAUUGGAGAAGUAAAAUGCAAUUUUCAAUAUUCUUUUAGUCCG
rnacentral:lncRNA from 1 species